AAGCUAGCUUGACUGCGAGAGUGACGGCUCGAGCAGGUGCGAAAGCAGGUCUUAGUGAUCCGGUGGUUCUGAAUGGAAGGGCCAUCGCUCAACGGAUAAAAGGUACUCCGGGGAUAACAGGCUGAUACCGCCCAAGAGUUCAUAUCGACGGCGGUGUUUGGCACCUCGAUGUCGGCUCAUCACAUCCUGGGGCUGAAGUAGGUCCCAAGGGUAUGGCUGUUCGCCAUUUAAAGUGGUACGCGAGCUGGGUUUAGAACGUCGUGAGACAGUUCGGUCCCUAUCUGCCGUGGGCGCUGGAGAAUUGAGGGGGGCUGCUCCUAGUACGAGAGGACCGGAGUGGACGCAUCACUGGUGUUCGGGUUGUCAUGCCAAUGGCAUUGCCCGGUAGCUAAAUGCGGAAGAGAUAAGUGCUGAAAGCAUCUAAGCACGAAACUUGCCCCGAG
rnacentral:rRNA from 1 species